AAAAAUGGCUAAAGUUGUGGUAAUUGGCAUCAUUUACCUCUUCCUCGAUGUUUCGUUUGUCGAAAUUGAAAGCAUGUUGAAAUGCUCGAAAGUCCGGUCUACAAAAAGUUACAUCAGAUUAUGACUUGAUAGCAGAGGAGCCUUGGUAUAAAAGAAUGUACAGUACCUCCGACUUCCAAGCAGAAAAAAAUACUGUCCGAUAUCUUUGUCCCGAAGAGCAGAAGAGCGCUUUAGAGCUGGCAGGAUAGAAGCGAAGAAAAAAUGGAGGAGAAAAGUGAACCAACAACUGAACGUAACAGAGGAAGUGAUGAUAAAAGGCUUUCGUCUGCCUCAGCUGGUAUUGUGGGAAGAAAUUGAAUUGGAUCUGGAAAAAUGCGAAUACUCACUCCCUCAGUUAUUUGAUCGAUGGAUGCCAUCUGAGACGUAUGUGUCCGAAUGGAAAAAUAAAAGUCGUAAUGCGCUUAAAGGAUAUUUACCCCUUUACUUUCG